UACGUAGGGUGCAAGCGUUGUCCGGAAUUAUUGGGCGUAAAGAGCUCGUAGGCGGCUUGUUGCGUCGACUGUGAAAACCCGCGGCUUAACUGCGGGCUUGCAGUUGAUACGGGCAGGCUAGAGUUCGGUAGGGGGAGACUGGAAUUCCUGGUGUAGCGGUGAAAUGCGCAGAUAUCAGGAGGAACACCGGUGGCGAAGGCGGGUCUCUGGGCCGAUACUGACGCUGAGGAGCGAAAGCGUGGGGAGCGAACAGG
rnacentral:rRNA from 1 species